CUACGGGCGGCAGCAGUAGGGAAUCUUCGGCAAUGGACGGAAGUCUGACCGAGCAACGCCGCGUGAGUGAAGAAGGUUUUCGGAUCGUAAAGCUCUGUUGUAAGAGAAGAACGAGUGUGAGAGUGGAAAGUUCACACUGUGACGGUAUCUUACCAGAAAGGGACGGCUAACUACGUGCCGGCAGCCGCGGUAAUACGUAGGUCCCGAGCGUUGUCCGGAUUUAUUGGGCGUAAAGCGAGCGCAGGCGGUUAGAUAAGUCUGAAGUUAAAGGCUGUGGCUUAACCAUAGUACGCUUUGGAAACUGUUUAACUUGAGUGCAAGAGGGGAGAGUGGAAUUCCAUGUGUAGCGGUGAAAUGCGUAGAUAUAUGGAGGAACACCGGUGGCGAAAGCGGCUCUCUGGCUUGUAACUGACGCUGAGGCUCGAAAGCGUGGGGAGCAAACAGGAUUAGAUACCCGAGUAGUC
rnacentral:rRNA from 1 species